AGUUAAGUGACUAAGCGUACACGGUGGAUGCCUAGGCAAUCAGAGGCGAAGAAGGACGUGCUAAUCUGCGAAAAGCUUGGAUGAGUUGAUAAGAAGCGUUUAAUCCAAGAUAUCCGAAUGGGGAAACCCGAUGGAUGAAGAAUCCAUCAUUUCAUUAUGAAUCCAUAGUAAUGAAAGGCAAACCGGGAGAACUGAAACAUCUAAGUACCCCGAGGAAAAGAAAUCAACCGAGAUUUUGUAAGUAGCGGCGAGCGAAAGCGAAAGAGCCAGUGAGUGAUAGCAGCAAAGACAGAAGAAUUGGCUGGGAAGCCAAGCGACACAGGGUGAUAGCCCCGUAUUCGAAGUUUUUGUUGUGGUACUAAGCUUGCAACAAGUAGGGCGGGACACGAGAAAUCCUGUUUGAAGAUGGGGGGACCAUCCUCCAAGGCUAAAUACUCCUGAUUGACCGAUAGUGAACCAGUACUGUGAAGGAAAGGCGAAAAGAACCCCAGUGAGGGGAGUGAAAUAGAACCUGAAACCGUGUACGUACAAGCAGUGGGAGCCCUUUGGGGUGACUGCGUACCUUUUGUAUAAUGGGUCAGCGACUUAUAUUUUGUAGCGAGGUUAACUGAAUAAGGGAGCCGAAGGGAAACCGAGUCUUAACUGGGCGGAUAGUUGCAAGGUAUAGACCCGAAACCCGGUGAUCUAGCCAUGGGCAGGUUGAAGGUUGGGUAACACUAACUGGAGGACCGAACCGACUAAUGUUGAAAAAUUAGCGGAUGACUUGUGGCUGGGGGUGAAAGGCCAAUCAAACCGGGAGAUAGCUGGUUCUCCCCGAAAUCUAUUUAGGUAGAGCCUUAUGUGAAUACCUUCGGGGGUAGAGCACUGUUUCGGCUAGGGGUCCAUCCCGGAUUACCAACCCGAUGCAAACUGCGAAUACCGAAGAGUAAUGCAUAGGAGACACACGGUGGGUGCUAACGUCCAUCGUGGAGAGGGAAACAACCCAGACCGCCAGCUAAGGUCCCAAAGUCUAUAUUAAGUGGGAAACGAAGUGGGAAGGCUUAGACAGCUAGGAUGUUGGCUUAGAAGCAGCCAUCAUUUAAAGAAAGCGUAAUAGCUCACUAGUCGAGUCGGCCUGCGCGGAAGAUGUAACGGGGCUAAAAUAUAGCACCGAAGCUGCGGCAUCAGGCGUAUCACUAAUACGCCUUACGAUUAACAACAUCGAAUGAAGUGAAACGGRAUGAGAUGUUGGUCAAGCAACCCGAACGUUGAGUCGGAAAGUAAUCGAAGAGAGGAUUAUUAGUGAUACGYCUGUUGGGUAGGGGAGCGUUSUGUAAGCGGAUGAAGGUGAAUCGAGAGGUUUGCUGGACGUAUCASAAGUGCGAAUGCUGACAUAAGUAACGAUAAAACGAGUGAAAAACUCGUUCGCCGGAAGACCAAGGGUUCCUGUCCAACGUUAAUCGGGGCAGGGUGAGUCGGCCCCUAAGGCGAGGCUGAAAAGCGUAGUCGAUGGGAAACGGGUUAAUAUUCCCGUACUUG
rnacentral:rRNA from 1 species